rnacentral:rRNA from 1 species
UACGGAGGGGGCUAGCGUUGUUCGGAAUUACUGGGCGUAAAGCGCACGUAGGCGGCUUUGUAAGUUAGAGGUGAAAGCCCAGGGCUUAACCCUGGAAUUGCCUUUAAGACUGCAUCGCUUGAAUCGUGGAGAGGUGAGUGGAAUUCCGAGUGUAGAGGUGAAAUUCGUAGAUAUUGGGAAGAACACCGGUGGCGAAGGCGGCUCUCUGGACCGAGACUGACGCUGAGGCGCGAAAGCGUGGGGAGCAAACAGG